rnacentral:rRNA from 1 species
UACAGGGGUCUCGAGCGUUAGGCGGAAUCACUGGGCUUAAAGCGUGUGUAGGUGGAUGCCUAAGUACCUUGUGAAAUCCCACAGCUUAACUGUGGAACUGCUUGGUAUACUGGGUGUCUUGAGUCACUCAGGGGCGAGCGGAACAAAUGGUGGAGCGGUGAAAUGCGUAGAUAUCAUUUGGAACGCCAAUGGUGAAAACAGCUCGCUGGGAAUGAUCUGACACUGAGACGCGAAAGCCAGGGGAGCGAACGGG